rnacentral:rRNA from 1 species
UACGUAGGGGGCUAGCGUUGUCCGGAUUUAUUGGGCGUAAAGAGCUCGUAGGCGGUUUGUCGCGUCUGCUGUGAAAACCCGAGGCUCAACCUCGGGCCUGCAGUGGGUACGGGCAGACUAGAGUGCGGUAGGGGAGAAUGGAAUUCCUGGUGUAGCGGUGGAAUGCGCAGAUAUCAGGAGGAACACCGAUGGCGAAGGCAGUUCUCUGGGCCGUAACUGACGCUGAGGAGCGAAAGCGUGGGGAGCGAACAGG